AUGGAGGUCGACAACACCGAGGAUGAGGAGGUCGACAAGGUCGCCCAGGCCAAGGCCGCCGCCAAGGCGCUCGGGACCAAGAGCAGCUCGGGCUCGGGCGCCGUCGGCGACGUUUCCGACGGGCUCAUGGAGCUCAACAUGGACACCUACAAUGACGAGGAGGAUGGGCUCGAGCUUUUCAGCACCAGGCUGGGGGACUUGUACUACAAAAGCAACAAAGAGGACCCAUAUAUCAUCACGAACGAUGACGAAGAUGAUGGCGAGGAACACGAUGAGGAGAUGAAGGACAUGACUAUCAAAUCUACUGAUAUAGUGAUUGUUUGCGCUCAUAACAAGGAUGAAUUCAAUUCUCUCCAGGUUAGCAGAGUGGAAGAAUUGGAGGAUGGGGAUCCUAAUAUGUUUGUGCACCAUGAGGUCCCUCUCUUAGAUUUUCUGCUCUGCACGGCUUGGAUGGAUUUUAACCGUCAGGAUUCGGGGUCUUCUACAAGGAUAAGACCAGGGCCUCCAAUGGAUUAG
rnacentral:rRNA from 1 species